rnacentral:rRNA from 1 species
AGCUAACGUUGGCGGCGUGCCUAACACAUGCAAGUCGAACGCGCCGGAGCAAUCCGGUGAGUGGCGAACGGGUGAGUAAUACGUGGGUCAUCUCCCCUCAAGUGAGGAAUAAGCCCCCGAAAGGGGGUCUAAUACCGCAUAAUGCCCGGGAAUAUAAGUUCACGGGCCAAAGCCGCAAGGCGCUCGAGGAUGAGCCUGCGUCCUAUUAGCUAGUUGGUAGGGUAAUGGCCUACCAAGGCGAAGAUGGGUAGCCGGCCUGAGAGGGUGAACGGCCACACUGGGACUGAGACACGGCCCAGACUCCUACGGGAGGCAGCAGUGAGGAAUUUUGCGCAAUGGGGGAAACCCUGACGCAGCGACGCCGCGUGGAGGAUGAAGGCCUUCGGGUCGUAAACUCCUGUCAGAGGUGAAGAAUACCCGCAAGGGUUUGACGGUAACCUCAAAGGAAGCCCCGGCUAACUACGUGCCAGCCGCCGCGGUAAGAC